GCUUGUCUCAAAGAUUAAGCCAUGCAUGUCUGAGUAUAAGCAAUUAUACAGCGAAACUGCGAAUGGCUCAUUAUAUAAGUUAUCGUUUAUUUGAUAGUACCUUGCUACUUGGAUAACCGUGGUAAUUCUAGAGCUAAUACAUGCUAAAAAUCCCGACUCCGGAAGGGAUGUAUUUAUUAGAUUAAAAGCCAAUGCCCUCUGGGCUCUCUGGUGAUUCAUGAUAACUUCUCGAAUCGCACGGCCUUGCGCCGGCGAUGGUUCAUUCAAAUUUCUUCCCUAUCAACUUUCGAUGUUUGGGUAGUGGCCAAACAUGGUUGCAACGGGUAACGGAGGGUUAGGGCUCGACCCCGGAGAAGGAGCCUGAGAAACGGCUACUACAUCCAAGGAAGGCAGCAGGCGCGCAAAUUACCCAAUCCCGACUCGGGGAGGUAGUGACAAUAAAUACUGAUACAGGGCCCUUUCGGGUCUUGUAAUUGGAAUGAGUACAAUUUAAAUCCCUUAACGAGGAACAAUUGGAGGGCAAGUCUGGUGCCAGCAGCCGCGGUAAUUCCAGCUCCAAUAGCGUAUAUUAAAGUUGUUGUGGUUAAAAAGCUCGUAGUUGAACCUUGGGCCUGGCGGGCUGGUCCGCCUCACCGCGUGCACUAGUCCCGCCGGGCCUUUCCCUCUGCGGAGCCCCAUGCCCUUCACUGGGCGUGGCGGGGAAGCAGGACGUUUACUUUGAAAAAAUUAGAGUGCUCCAGGCAGGCGUAUGCUCGAAUACAUUAGCAUGGAAUAAUGAAAUAGGACGCGCGGUUCUAUUUUGUUGGUUUCUGGGACCGCCGUAAUGAUUAAUAGGGACAGUCGGGGGCAUCAGUAUUCAAUUGUCAGAGGUGAAAUUCUUGGAUUUAUUGAAGACUAACAACUGCGAAAGCAUCUGCCAAGGAUGUUUUCAUUAAUCAGGAACGAAAGUUAGGGGAUCGAAGACGAUCAGAUACCGUCGUAGUCUUAACCAUAAACUAUGCCGACUAGGGAUCGGACGAUGUUAUUCAUUGACUCGUUCGGCACCUUACGAGAAAUCAAAGUGC
rnacentral:rRNA from 1 species